UACGUAGGCAGCAAGCGUUGUUCGGAGUUACUGGGCGUAAAGAGUGCGUAGGUGGUGCCCUAAGUCUGUUGUGAAAUCUCCCGGCUUAACUGGGAGGGUGCGGUGGAAACUGGGGUGCUUGAGUGUGGGAGAGGUAAGCGGAAUUCCUGGUGUAGCGGUGAAAUGCGUAGAUAUCAUGAGGAAGACCAGUGGCGAAGGCGGGUCUCUGGACAGUUCCUGACACUGAGGCACGAAGGCCAGGGGAGCAAACGGG
rnacentral:rRNA from 1 species